rnacentral:rRNA from 1 species
AACGAGCGCAACCCUUGCCUUUAGUUGCCAGCAGUUCGGCUGGGCACUCUAAAGGGACUGCCGGUGUUAAACCGGAGGAAGGUGGGGAGUGGACGUCAAGUCCUCAUGGCCUUUAUGACCAGGGCUACACACGUACUACAAUGGCCGAUACAAAGGGCAGCGACACUGCGAGGUGAAGCCAAUCCCGUAAAAUACGGUCUCAGUCCGGAUUGGAGUCUGCAACUCGACUCCAUGAAGUUGGAAUCGCUAGUAAUCGUGGAUCAGCAUGCCACGGUGAAUACGUUCCCGGGCCUU